CAACAGGGAAUUGCCCUAGUACGGCGAGUGAAGCGGCAACAGCUCAAAUUUGAAAUCUGGCUCUUUCAGAGUCCGAGUUGUAAUUUGCAGAGGGCGCUUUGGCUUUGGCAGCGGUCCAAGUUCCUUGGAACAGGACGUCACAGAGGGUGAGAAUCCCGUACGUGGUCGCUAGCUAUUGCCGUGUAAAGCCCCUUCGACGAGUCGAGUUGUUUGGGAAUGCAGCUCUAAAUGGGAGGUAAAUUUCUUCUAAAGCUAAAUAUUGGCCAGAGACCGAUAGCGCACAAGUAGAGUGAUCGAAAGAUGAAAAGCACUUUGGAAAGAGAGUCAAACAGCACGUGAAAUUGUUGAAAGGGAAGCGCUUGCAGCCAGACUUGCUUGCAGUUGCUCAUCCGGGCUUUUGCCCGGUGCACUCUUCUGCAGGCAGGCCAGCAUCAGUUUGGGCGGUGGGAUAAAGGUCUCUGACACGUUCCUUCCUUCGGGUUGGCCAUAUAGGGGAGACGUCAUACCACCAGCCUGGACUGAGGUCCGCGCAUCUGCUAGGAUGCUGGCGUAAUGGCUGUAAGCGGCCCGUCUUGNAAAACACNGACCAAAA
rnacentral:rRNA from 1 species